rnacentral:rRNA from 1 species
GGCGAACGGGUGAGUAACACGUGAGUAACCUGCCCUUGACUUUGGGAUAACUUCAGGAAACUGGGGCUAAUACCGGAUAGGAGCUCCUGCUGCAUGGUGGGGGUUGGAAAGUUUCGGCGGUUGGAGAUGGACUCGCGGCUUAUCAGCUUGUUGGUGGGGUAGUGGCUUACCAAGGCUUCGACGGGUAGCCGGCCUGAGAGGGCGACCGGCCACAUUGGGACUGAGAUACGGCCCAG